UUCCACGUCUCUUACACACCUCCCUCAUUUUCCAAAUUCAAAAUGUUUUAUCUUCUUCUACCUCUCACCAUCAACAAAACUCAUCAUUUAGUGUCUUCCAAAAAAGCAAAGAAAAAUCUAAUAGUGACGCAACAACAUAAAAGAGUAGUGAACUAGUUAGAAUAUCAGCAAGCGUAGCCUCUCGCACGAGUUAGCAGCGAAACUCGGAGUUCUUCCCGACCGACUAUUUAUCGGAGAGAGCCUGAAUCUGAGGAUCAAUGGCAUUGACGGAGUUAACACAAACAACCCAAUAGUUCAAAGUCUUCAUUUUUUUGUGAAACAGCUGGUUUGGGAAUUUCUUGCUAGAGAGGUGCCAAAGAUUUCUAUUGGAAAAUUUGUUUUUUCACUUCGUUGGAAACCAUAUCGGCUUAAAUGAAAGACUUUAUAGUUUGAGUUGAUCUAGAAAGGUGAGAACUUGGGGGUGUUGGAUGAGGGAAAAGUCAUUCCAUGAAAGAGUUUCUUGGGCUAUUGGAAAAGAGUUUCUUGGGCUAUUGGAGGGAUGGCUGGUUCUAAUAGCAAGUUUGGUGUUUGUAAGAUAAUUCAAGGAAAUCAAGAGUAUGGCGUUGAGCCCCAAAGCUGACAUUGGGCACCGUAAGACGGUUUGCUGAAGAUUCAAAUAUGAGCCAUGGAGUUGAGCAACGAUAUUGGCGCUAAGCCGCAAAUGAAGAAACGUUUACUACAAAUCUCCAUCACCAAAAUUGGCAGCUAAGCUUUAGAGAACACCCUCCUAGGAAACCUUCAUUGCUGACCUCAAAACCAAGAGCUCAACCUUGGAGGAAACUCACCUAGAGAGGAAAUUUCCAUGGUUGACCAAUGCCUUUGGAGUUGAAGUUACACAUUUUAUUUCUAUAAAAAUAGAGUCUUGCUCUAUUAUUUGUAUGCUGAUUUUGUAGUUCAGUUCUAGGAGUUGUUAGAUACUUAUUACAAUACAUUUAGAUAGAACCAUGGGAGAACGACAAAAGUUCCUUGUGCUUGUUUUAGGAAUCAUUUCAUGAGCAAUUAAACUUUUUCUUGUUGGGAUUGGGUAUAAUUUCUCUAACUCUUUACUACAUUUGAUUCAAGUCGAGUGAUGUUGAUAAAGAUGUUGAUAAAGUCGAGUGAUGUUGAUA